UCUGGUAUUGAUUGGUGCUUGCAUCAUGCAUUUACAUUUGAGUGAGUGGCGAACUGGUGAGUAACACGUGGGAAACCUGCCCAGAAGCGGGGGAUAACACCUGGAAACAGAUGCUAAUACCGCAUAACAACUUGGACCGCAUGGUCCGAGCUUGAAAGAUGGCUUCGGCUAUCACUUUUGGAUGGUCCCGCGGCGUAUUAGCUAGAUGGUGGGGUAACGGCUCACCAUGGCAAUGAUACGUAGCCGACCUGAGAGGGUAAUCGGCCACAUUGGGACUGAGACACGGCCCAAACUCCUACGGGAGGCAGCAGUAGGGAAUCUUCCACAAUGGACGAAAGUCUGAUGGAGCAACGCCGCGUGAGUGAAGAAGGGUUUCGGCUCGUAAAACUCUGUUGUUAAAGAAGAACAUAUCUGAGAGUAACUGUUCAGGUAUUGACGGUAUUUAACCAGAAAGCCACGGCUAACUACGUGCCAGCAGCCGCGGUAAUACGUAGGUGGCAAGCGUUGUCCGGAUUUAUUGGGCGUAAAGCGAGCGCAGGCGGUUUUUUAAGUCUGAUGUGAAAGCCUUCGGCUCAACCGAAGAAGUGCAUCGGAAACUGGGAAACUUGAGUGCAGAAGAGGACAGUGGAACUCCAUGUGUAGCKGUGWARWGCKWAGRWAKAUSGAMARUSACSARKGCSGMUGKCKGSUSUSUGRYYKRYRMYKRRSSYUGARRSUMKRRGKWRYRRAYAGSAUWAGAUACCCUGGUAGUCCAUACCGUAAACGAUGAAUGCUAAGUGUUGGAGGGUUUCCGCCCUUCAGUGCUGCAGCUAACGCAUUAAGCAUUCCGCCUGGGGAGUACGGCCGCAAGGCUGAAACUCAAAGGAAUUGACGGGGGCCCGCACAAGCGGUGGAGCAUGUGGUUUAAUUCGAAGCUACGCGAAGAACCUUACCAGGUCUUGACAUACUAUGCAAAUCUAAGAGAUUAGACGUUCCCUUCGGGGACAUGGAUACAGGUGGUGCAUGGUUGUCGUCAGCUCGUGUCGUGAGAUGUUGGGUUAAGUCCCGCAACGAGCGCAACCCUUAUUAUCAGUUGCCAGCAUUAAGUUGGGCACUCUGGUGAGACUGCCGGUGACAAACCGGAGGAAGGUGGGGAUGACGUCAAAUCAUCAUGCCCCUUAUGACCUGGGCUACACACGUGCUACAAUGGAUGGUACAACGAGUUGCGAACUCGCGAGAGUAAGCUAAUCUCUUAAAGCCAUUCUCAGUUCGGAUUGUAGGCUGCAACUCGCCUACAUGAAGUCGGAAUCGCUAGUAAUCGCGGAUCAGCAUGCCGCGGUGAAUACGUUCCCGGGCCUUGUACACACCGCCCGUCACACCAUGAGAGUUUGUAACACCCAAA
rnacentral:rRNA from 1 species